rnacentral:rRNA from 1 species
CUACGGGUUGCAGCAGUGAGGAAUAUUGCACAAUGGGGGGAACCCUGAUGCAGCAACGCCGCGUGGAGGAUGACGCAUUUCGGUGUGUAAACUCCUUUUAUAUGUCAAGAAAAUGACGGUAGCAUAUGAAUAAGCACCGGCUAACUCCGUGCCAGCAGCCGCGGUAAUAGCGGAGGGUGCAAGCGUUACUCGGAAUCACUGGGCGUAAAGGACGCGUAGGCGGGUUGGAAAGUCAGGUGUGAAAUCCUACAGCUUAACUGUAGAACUGCACUUGAAACUUCUAAUCUAGAGUAUGGGAGGGGGAGAUGGAAUUAGUGGUGUAGGGGUAAAAUCCGUAGAUAUCACUAGGAAUACCUAAAGCGAAGGCGAUCUCCUGGAACAUUACUGACGCUAAGGUGUGAAAGCGUGGGGAGCAAACAGGAUUAGAUACCCCCGUAGUC